GGACCCGCACAAGCAGAGGAGCAUGUUGUUUAAUUCGAAGCAACGCGAAAAACCUUACCAAGGCUUGACAUUUGAUGCAUAGUCUAGAGAUAGAUGAAGUUAUAGCAAUAUAACAUCAAAACAGAUGGUGCAUGGUUGUCGUCAGCUCGUGUCGUGAGAUGUUGGGUUAAGUCCCGCAACGAGCGCAACCCUUAUCAUUAGUUGCCAAUAUUAAGUUAGGAACUCUAAUGAGACUGCCGUAGAUAAUACGGAGGAAGGUGGGGAUGACGUCAAAUCAUCAUGCCUCUUACGCCUUGGGCUACAAACGUGCUACAAUGGCCAUUACAAAGAGAUGCAAUACGGUAACGUGGAGCCAACCUCAAAAAAAUGGUCCCAGUUCAGAUUGUGGGCUGCAACCCGCCCACAUGAAGUUGGAUUUGCUAGUAAUCCCGAAUCAGCAUGUCGGGGUGAAUGCGUUCCCGGGUCUU
rnacentral:rRNA from 1 species